ACAGAAACAUGUGUGUAUACUGCUUGUACACUAAAGGAAAGGGUGAUAAACAAGAAUUGUGUUUGUGUUAUGUUGAUGAUUUGCUUUACUCUACAAAAAGUGACAAGCAAGUGGAAAAAUUUGCAGAACAACUAAGAAAGGAAUUUAAAGUAAGAGAUUUGGGUCCAGUAAAAAAUUAUCUCGGUUUAGAAAUUCAAAGAACAAACGAUGGAAGUUUUUUGUUGAGUCAAAAAGACAAAAUAAUGGAGUUACUUGAAAGAAACAAUAUGCAAAACUGCAAGGGAGUAAAAACCCCAAUGGAAAUAGGUUUUUUCAAAAAUGAAGGAGAAUGCACAGAACCUGUAAAUCCUGAAAUGUUCCAUUCAAUAAUUGGAAGUUUAUUAUACAUUUCAUUGUGGAGCAGACCAGAUUUGAGUUAUGCAGUUGGAAUACUAAGCAGACUAGUAAGCUGUCCUACAGAAAACGCCUGGAAAGGUUUAAAACGCAUUUUCCGGUAUCUAAAGCAAACACUUGAUUAUUGUUUAAGAUUACCAUCUUCAGGUUCCACCAAAUUGCAGUGUUACGUUGACAGCGAUUGGGCCAACCUGCCUGAUAAAAAAUCAAUUUCUGGAAUGGUAUUUCAAUUUGGAGAUUCUUUAAUAGGUUGGAAAUCCAAAAAACAAAGUAUCGUGGCCACAUCAUCAACAGAGGCCGAAUACUGUGCAUUGUCGGAGUUAUGUAAUGAAGUAAAAUUUUAUGUUCAGAUCCUCAAGGAUAUAAACGUACAGUGUGAUUAUCCCGUUCAAAUUAUGGAAGAUAAUCAAGCUGUAAUAACUUUGUUUGGGUCUGACCAGUUUAGAAACAAAUCAAAGCAUUUGGAAAUUAAAUAUCAAAAUGUAGCUGAAAAUGUAAAACAGAACCAGAUAAUGCUGAAGUAUUGUGAAAGUACACAAAAUGUGGCGGAUGUAUUUACAAAAGCGUUAACCUUUGAAAAACAUGACUGGUAGCAAAGUUGGGAGUUGCUGUGUGUGAUAUGUAAAUAUGUUCUGUUCUGUUUAAAAUACUAUUGUUUCUGUUUGAAUGAGAGGGGGUGUUAGAGGACAUUCGACACAGAAACAUGUGUGUAUACCUUUAAGAAGUUUCUGGGAUUAAUUGGCUGCAGGUGACCGUUGCUAUAAAGGAAAAAAGCUGAGUUUUGUUGCCUGCCUGCAGGAAUAAUAUCCACCAGAGUUUGUGUUUAUUUGCUUAGUAAUAAAGUCUUCGUUUUAGUUUGGGUUUUUACACCUAUGUCUCCUGGAGUCACUCUGUCCUCUGCCACCGGCUGGAAAUCCCC
rnacentral:lncRNA from 1 species